AAUCAACGCUGGCGGCGUGCCUAACACAUGCAAGUCGAACGCGAAAGGGACUUCGGUCCUGAGUAGAGUGGCGAACGGGUGAGUAACGCGUGGGUGACCUACCCUCGAGUGGGGGAUAACGUUCCGAAAGGGACGCUAAUACCGCAUGACAUUCCUGGUUUGAAGACCGGGAAAUCAAAGCCGGGGACCGCAAGGCCUGGCGCUAGAGGAGGGGCCCGCGUCUGAUUAGCUAGUUGGCGGGGUAACGGCCCACCAAGGCGACGAUCAGUAGCCGGCCUGAGAGGGCGGACGGCCACACUGGGACUGAGACACGGCCCAGACUCCUACGGGAGGCAGCAGUGGGGAAUUGUUCGCAAUGGGCGCAAGCCUGACGACGCAACGCCGCGUGGAGGAUGAAGGUCUUCGGAUUGUAAACUCCUGUUAAUCGGAACGAAAAGCUUCAACCCAAUACGUUGGAGACUGACGGUACCGGUUGAGGAAGCCACGGCUAA
rnacentral:rRNA from 1 species